ACCCUCUGACAAUGGGCAAAGCGACACCUUGUUGGUGGUGUUCCUAUACCAGUCAGGGGCAGAGCAUAUGGCAGUCCAUUGUUCAUCCUAGCUUGAUACCUGGCUUGGUGGCCAAAGCUAUCUUAUGCCUAGGACUCAUAA